rnacentral:rRNA from 1 species
GUAGGGGGCAAGCGUUAUCCGGAUUUACUGGGUGUAAAGGGAGCGUAGACGGCAUGGCAAGCCAGAUGUGAAAGCCCGGGGCUCAACCCCGGGACUGCAUUUGGAACUGUCAGGCUAGAGUGUCGGAGAGGAAAGCGGAAUUCCUAGUGUAGCGGUGAAAUGCGUAGAUAUUAGGAGGAACACCAGUGGCGAAGGCGGCUUUCUGGACGAUGACUGACGUUGAGGCUCGAAAGCGUGGGGAGCAAACAGGAUUAGAUACCCUGGUAGUCCACGCCGUAAACGAUGUGCGCUGGAUGUUGGGUGACCUAGUCACUCAGUGUCGUAGCUAACGCGGUAAGCGCACCGCCUGGGGAGU